GGAACGAAACGGCGAGUACUAAUACUGCUCGCUAAUGACGGUACCUGAAGAAGAAGCACCGGCUAACUACGUGCCAGCAGCCGCGGUAAUACGUAGGGUGCGAGCGUUAAUCGGAAUUACUGGGCGUAAAGCGUGCGCAGGCGGUUGUGUAAGACAGGUGUGAAAUCCCCGGGCUUAACCUGGGAACUGCGCUUGUGACUGCACAGCUAGAGUAUGGCAGAGGGGGGUGGAAUUCCACGUGUAGCAGUGAAAUGCGUAGAGAUGUGGAGGAACACCGAUGGCGAAGGCAGCCCCCUGGGCCAAUACUGACGCUCAUGCACGAAAGCGUGGGGAGCAAACAGGAUUAGAUACCCUGGUAGUCCACGCCCUAAACGAUGUCGACUAGGUGUUCGGUGAGGAGACUCAUUGAGUACCGCAGCUAACGCGUGAAGUCGACCGCCUGGGGAGUACGGUCGCAAGAUUAAAAACUCAAAAGGAAUUGACGGGGU
rnacentral:rRNA from 1 species